GGUGUGGUGGCCAAGUGGUGAGGUGUUGGUUUUGUAAACCAAAGAUUAUGGGUUCAACCCCCAUCCAUACCU